GGGAGCAACACCAAUUGCUCAAUCGCAUUUGUCAGGGCAGGAGAACAGCCACAAGCAGGGAGUAAGGCACCAGCAGGGAUCCUGGCAUCAGCCAAGGACUGGAAACUCGCUGUGGAUUUGGAGAAGCAGCUGAAAUUCCCCCAGCACAUUGUCAGCAUAACUAUGAGGCCAGAUAUCAUUCUAGUCUCAGAGAGCACCAAGAAUAUGAUCAUCAUGGAGCUGACCGUCCCAUGGGAGGACCGCUUGGGAGGAGCUCACGAAAGAAAGAUGACCAAAUAUGAACAUCUGAUCACAGACUGCCGAGCACAGGGCUGGAAGGAGAGAUGCAUGCCUAUCGAGGUUGGCUGCAGAGGAUUUGUGGGGCGCUCCCUCCACAAAGCCUUCACUGCGCUGGGCAUUGUAGGAACAACAAGGAGCAGGGCCAUCAAGAACAUCACAGAGAAAGCCUCGAGAUGGCUCUGGAUCCGUAGAGGAACACCAUGG